GGUAGCGUGGCCGAGCGGUCUCAAGGCGCUGGAUUAAGGCUCCAGUCUUCUCGGAGGCGUGGGUUCAAAUCCCACCGUUGCCA
rnacentral:tRNA from 1 species